CAGCACCUCAAGUGGUCAGGAUGAUUAUUGGGCCUAAAGCAUCCGUAGCCUGUUCUGUAAGUUUCCGGUUAAAUCCAUUAGCUCAACUAAUGGGCUGCCGAAAAUACUGCAGAACUAGGGAGUGGGAGAGGUAGACGGUACUCGGUAGGAAGGGGUAAAAUCCUUUGAUCUAUUGAUGACCACCUGUGGCGAAGGCGGUCUACCAGAACACGUUCGACGGUGAGGGAUGAAAGCUGGGGGAGCAAACCGGAUUAGAUACCCGAGUAGUC
rnacentral:rRNA from 1 species